UAAAGAAUAACGAUUUUCUCUCUUUUUGUAUCAUAUUUUCUUAUACAUACAAGCUGGUUGAUAUAUUUGCCUGCAUCUUUAUUGUGCUUCAAUUUUUUAUAUUUUAUAUACGUGAUUAAUAAAUAUGUGAGAAUUUGUGUGCGUGAAGAUUUUCUACUAAAACUUAUCCUAAAAUAAAUGGGAAAGCAUUCUGCAUACGUAUAUGGGAAGUUUGGAAUAAACUUUUUUUUUUUUUAAAAAAAGUCGCUUGUUUGAAGUGUUUUGGAUGAGGGUUCUACCUGAGCUUCUCUUCUCGUAUUUAAAAAGUUAGAUUUAUUGUCUAUGUAUAUAUAAAAGUCAAUGAAUUUCUAAUUGUGUUUUCUCAGUGAUCCUAUGUUUGAAUUAUGAGUAUUUGCUGCUUUUUUUUUUCAUAUAAAUUAUAUUAGAUUUGAAUUGAUCUAUUGAAUAAUUAUAUUGCUACCUUGAUGUUAUGUAAAUUAUUUCCAGGUACAAUGGCAGAGAAAGAUGACACAUUUUCCGAUCUAGAUUCCGACUGUUGAAUUCCUUUAUUCUUCGAUAAAAAUUGCCAUAUUUGCUAUUUAGAAAUGAUGCUUGAACCAUUAUCUUCACCUUACCAAUCCCAAGAGAUCAAUCGACUUACUCUCACUAGCCUCGCCAUAUGCAGUGGUCGAUACUCUUCGCUCUCUCCAUCACGUCAAUUUCAUGGAUUUCAUGAUUCUAGAAGUCCUCAGUUUCAACGAAAUGACUAUGGGAUGCAAGAACUUGAUUAUUGUUAAAUUUUACUUCUUGUUGAGGAUAAGCAAGUAGAUCUUGAAAUUAGCACGAAUCAUUGAAGUUGUCUUGAUGGAAUUUACGAUCUAUGUGGCAGUUAGCUUUCAUAUUAAAUUUCUUACAGGCAUGUCUAGGGAUGACCAAGUUUGGAACUUAAUGUUGCAUUAUGAUUUUUUGUGGAUGAAUGAUUUUUUUAUUUUAUUUUGUGGGGUUUUAUAUUUUUAGGCCUUUGUUAAAAAGUAGAGUGGAGUUUUCAGCUAAUGAAUUUGAAACAACUUGAUUACUCUAAAUGAUACGCUUGGUGAUGUACAUAUGCCAUUGCUAAA